GUGGAUGUGGCUCAGUGAUAGAGCACUUGCCUAACAUGCAUGAGGCCCUAGGUUCGACUCCUAACUCCACA
rnacentral:tRNA from 1 species